rnacentral:lncRNA from 1 species
AGACAGACAGCAGUCCACCUAUACAGUCCAUGGAAGGAUCUUACAGAAUGGGACAAACGGUAAAUUUGUACAGCGCUUGAACACACAAACACACACACACCCCAACACACACACACGCUGUUUCAUUUAUAAGAUUUCAUAGUACCUAGGAACAUCAAGUGUGGGUGAGCCGUGGGUGUGAACUGAAAGUCAGCAGCAACCCUCAAGUUCCUCUUGUCUGUGGGAACCACUCCAUUCGCACAGAGCUGCGCAGGUGACCUGCCCUCACUCGCCGGCGGUGGGGGGAGUGGAGAGGACGGGCGAUGUGUGUGACGAUGGUGAGACUGUGGGCAAACACACCAAGAAGGCGUGGUGUGAGUCACGUGACACGAUCGUGCGCGCUGCGGCUUGAUGCGCACGAAUACUUUGUUCACACGCGCUUCGGGACUUUUCACUAACACCAAUCCCUUUCUUUAUCAAUGAAACUGCGCAGCACUGUUUCCAUCCGGCCGAAGGACGACCGACAGAGAGCGAGCACACACCCGGCUCUCGUUUCAUUGUCGGCCCGGCAGCCACCCACACACUGGAGGUAUGCGCAGCAUGUCUCACCUCGCUACGUGUAGCCUUGAGGAUGGGGGCAGGAGCUCGGCAACCUAUUCCUUGCUGACCUUUGGCCUUCGACCAGUUUGUGGACACGUGACAGCUGUAAGUGGUCAAGAUUGUGACCUGCGACAGUUCUCGCUGUGACACGUAGUUGACUUAUUGUCUUUCUCUCUCUCGUUCACAGAGCGUGUUUCUCAGCAUGUGUGCCUGUGUGUUCGGACGUGCUCGUUUGAAGGUUUGAGAGGUCAGCCAGCACUGCCUUGUAGAGUGGUUCACCUGUCAGUGGCAGUGUCCGGAGCUACCAAGCGCAGCCUUGUAGGCAAAAUUCUCCACCACACCUCCAACACGCAGAGGCGCACGCACCAUAUUUAUUCAUCCUCACAUACGAACGAACAAGCAAACGAAAUAAAGAAAUAAUGGCAGAGUUACACAGGUGUUUGACUGGCUAGAAACAUGUCAUUAUAGGGCAGGUGUGGAAGGAGAGGAGUUGACAAUCACAACUUGCCUCAUUGAUGGAAACUGAUCGUCAUUUUAAUGUUGGACUGUCAGUCUUUCUUUAAUGGACUCCUUUGAAAGCUAAUCCAUUGUUAGUUCAACUCCACAAACCUGUGCGCAGUAAAUUUUAGUAACAGGUGACCUUUUUUUAGCUGAGGGUGGAAACCUAAUCCUCCUGACAUCUUGAAGACAGCUAACGUUUCACCACGAAUAUACAAUUAUAUACUAGGUAUCACCCACGAAAUGCGAAACCAUUGUAAGCCAAACGAUAAUUGAUGAAAAGAGAGAAAACGACACUAAAAUUUUAGGCCGUCUACAGAGAUCAAGACUAAAAUUAACAAAUUGAUGUAAUUGAUUUUAAGCGAUAUAAUUGUCCACCUGAGAAACUGACCCAUGAUGACAAAAGGAUUUAUUAUCACAUCUUCCUGCUUGAGUAUUCCCCCAGACGAGGGUUAGAAUGUCCUGACAGUGGUUGCUGUUAAUCCAUCACCUCCACACACAUGCACGGACUCACACACGCACACACGCACGCAUCCACACACACACACACCGUAUCACCGAAGAAACAACUGGGACGUUCCCGAGUGAUUAGUUUCAGUAGACUAAUAGUCUCGGAACUGCCCUCUUGAAGCUGCGACCUUCCACUUCCGGAGCGGCGCAGACACUCGGAAGCCGAGGCUUGACUGGAGUUCGGAUAAGCCCGGCAACGACCGAGUGUUGCCGAAUGAUGGGCGCACGCGAGUGACCCACGAGAUGGCGCCGCCAGUGCUGAACCACGACCCUGUAGUGGCUGUUUGUUGUUAUCACACGUCGGGUUUCCUCUCUGCUCUUCCUGUUCCAGCUGCUACGACAGGCCAUGAUUGUUGUGUCUGCCUGCGACAACGACAGAGGCAUUGUGGGACAAAACAUCGUCCAUGGCAACAAGCAUUACUUGAUGAAGUUAAGAGCAAAUUGUCACCGAAAAUCCUUUUCUGUUAUUUGUUCAAGUCAGAGAAAGGAGGAAAGAAAAGUGGGGAAAUAUAAACGCCCUGUGGUGAAAGAUACUCUCAGUUAAAAGAAGACAAAUAAGGAAUAAACAAAUUUUUUACUUGG